AUAAUCGUAGCUCAUUCAAGGUAUCUCGGAACUGAGAAGAUGUUGAUACACCAUUUAAGAUAACUUAUCAUAUAAUGCUCUGUUCUAGAUAUCAGUCGGACAAAUACAUGGAACAAUGUCUUAAUUAUUGUCCAACAGUUUGUUUCUCGAUUUCUGAUUUGUUUGACGAAGAACUUAAUUGAACACAUCAACUUAGUUCUAACCAAGCCCGGUACAUAGGUCAAAACAAAAUCAUCGAGGGGCCCAGAUAUCAGCUUCUAAUCCAAGAAGGAACAGAUAAACUUCGACUCAUAUGUUUGUUCUACCACUCAUUGAAUUACACACAAAAGCACGUUUUAUAACAUCGAGUUACCAAUGCGUUUUCGUACAAUCAAUGCAUAACCAACUCGUAAGUAACAAAUCAUAUCUCUAGGUUUGAAGACUUAUAUGAUAUUACCGUCUCACGAUCACUCGAGAUAAAUUCCAUGAAGUGAUUCCAAUGAGCGUGGGUUGAUUCCAAUGCUCAGAACUUAUGAGCACUCACGAUUGUUGUAUCCAUGUCCAACACCUUAGACCUCUACAACCAAUCAUGACAGUCUUGAUUCAUACCUACUUCCGACAUAUGACCGACUGUGGAGGUUGGAAUAAUAUGAUAUACCAAACGUAAUUAUUCCGGAAGUCAAAACAUGCAAAAAAGAAAUAUAGUAAACGAUCGACAAGAGAUAGGAACUUAUGAGCACUCACGAUUGUUGUAUCCAUGUCCAACACCUUAGACCUCUACAACCAAUCAUGACAGUCUUGAUU
rnacentral:lncRNA from 1 species